rnacentral:lncRNA from 1 species
UUUAGUUUGUGAUCUGACGUGUUAAGGUCAGGAGAGAAGAGCAAACCUCCUUCCUGAGUCUUCACUCCUACUCUCCUGAUGUGUGACUUUAGGGCAUAUAUAAUGGGAGAAUUUUGAAGUAAGUGAAGACAUAUUUGGGGAUACCACAAGAACACGAAGAGUUAGUAUGAAUUAAAAAAAAAAAACUUCCCUACAGUGAAAAUGUUCUUACAUAGUCAAGUAUUAUAGACUUCUAUAAUAAUGCAAUUUAUUUGUAUAUUCGUGGUUAGAUAGGCCUCUGGUUAAAUGUUGCCUGUCUCCUCAUCACUGGCUACCUCAACCAAAAAAACUUGUUCAGGUGUUUUAGUCACGUCUGACUUUGUAAGUCAGUUUGGGGUUUUCUUAGCAAAGAUGCUGGAAUGAUUUGCCAUUUCCUUUUCUAGCUCAUAGAUGAGGAAACUGAGGCAAACAAGAUUAAGCAAUUUGCUUAGGGUCACACAGCUAAGAGGUGUCUAAGGACAGAUUUGAACUCAGGACGAUGAGUCUACCAGACUCCAGGCCUGGCACUCCAUCCAUUGUGCCACCUAGUUGCCCCAUAAUAAAAGAAUUAUGCCAUACAUAUGAUAUAAAUCUAGAAUUGAAAAGGGACCUUGAAAAUCAUCUAGUCAAAAUUCCUCUUUGUUUCUUUGUUUGUUUCUCUGUUUAUUUCUCUCUCUCCUCCUUCCUUCCUUUCUCCUUUCUUUCUUUCUUUCUUUCUUUCUUUCUUUCUUUCUUUCUUUCUUUCUUUCUUUCUUUCUUUCUUUCUUUCUUUCUUUCUUUCUUUCUUUCUUUCUUUCUUUCUUUCUUUCUUUCUUUCUUUCUUUCUAUCUUUCUUUCUGUCUCUUUCUUCCUUCCUUUCUUUCUGUCUCUUCCUUUCUUUCUUUCUGUCUCUUUCUUUCUUUCUUCCUUUCUUUCUUUCUGUCUCUUUCUUCCUUCCUUCCUUUCUUCCUUCCUUUCUUUCUUUCUUUCUUUCUUUCUUUCUUUCUUUCUUUCUUUCUUUCUUUCUUUCUUUCUUUCUUUCUUUCUUUCUUUCUUUCUUUCUUUCUUUCUUUCUUUCUUUCUUUCUUUCUUUCUUUCUUUCUUUCUUUCUUUCUUUCUUUCUUUCUCUUUCUUCCUUCCUUUCUUUCUCUUUCUUUCUUUCUUUCUUUCUGUCUCUUCCUUCCUUCCUUCCUUCCUUCCUUCCUUCCUUCCUUCCUUCCUUCCUUCCUUCCUUCCUUCCUUCCUUCCUUCCUUCCUUCCUUCCUUCCUUCCUUCCUUCCUUCCUUUCCUUCUUUUUUCUCUUACCUUCUAUCUUGGAAUUAAUACCAUAUUUUAGUUCAAAGGCAGCAAAGUUGUAAGGGCUAGGCAAUGGGGGUUAAGUGACUUGCCUAGGGUCACACAGCUAGGAAGUAUGUGAGGUCAGAUAUGAACCCAGGAACUCCCAUCUCUAAGUCUGACACUCAAUCCACUGAGCCACCAACUGCCUCCAAUUUCCUCUUUUUUCCCCCCUUCAAAUGAGGAGAGUGAGUUUUAGCAAGGUUAAGUGUCUUGUUCACUUAUACUGGUAAUAAAUGGUAGUUCUGGCAUUUGAAUUGUGGUCCC